CUCGUCGUGCUCAUUCGCACUAAUUAAAGCUGCUCGUUGUCACGUCGCUCCGCUCUUUAAAACAAGACUUCACGCGGUGGAGGGAUGGAGGGUGGAGAGAUUAAAAAAACACCAACUUUUAUUGUAACGCAUAAUUAUUAUUAAUAUUAUUAUUAAUGUUGCGCGAGCCCUUCAAUCAGUCACUGAGGCUGACACGAAGUCGAUGUUGUAGGUGAAUAAAUCAAAAUGAAACAAUCUAAUUAUGCAGAUUAGCAUUUUAUAGCUGCGUUCGCCUCAGCAAAUAAAAGUCCUAACAUUCGUAAUAACGUGUACUGCGUGUCAUCUGAUCACACCUGUGGGCCUCUAAUGCAGCUUAUUUUCAGUGGAUUGUUUUCACGCGUGUCAUAUUGCUGUGUAAAUGUUGAUUUAGAAUGUAGGAUGUAGAGAUUCACUUUUCAAUUAUGAAUUCACGUUAUUUUAAUGACCUGCUUAUAGGGGACUUUAUGUAAAUGCCGAUCGCUUAUACUUUUAAUAAACUAUAAUACACUGAGCGUUGUUUUCAGGCGCAGUUACACUUCCACUUUGUGUCACCACGAAAGCAGUAAAUGUGAAGCAGGUUGGUGUCAGACUCAAUCUUCACCGGUGAAAACGAGCAUAUACACAAUGGUUCCUCACUCAUACUGUAUUUACUCCACGUGUCGAGCGCAUGAAUAUGGAUUAUUCUGAGCUGCUCUCCACAGGGAGUCUUCCACUUUCACGUCCACAUGGAUUUAUCUGUGCUGCAGAGGAGACGCACAGAAAAUUUCCCUCUGUCUGGUUGUGACUGCUGACGUUUGAUCAUUAUUAUUACUGUUAUUUUACACAGACGAAUUGAUGUUGGAGGACUAUAGCAGGGGUCAUUUGGUCCUCGGGGGUCUGCUGGUGACAUAUCCUGCUGCAGCUCCCCGGCCCGCCGCCAGCGCGGGUCAGCUAUCCCAGCAGGCUGCUCUCUCUGGCAGCAGUUACCAAGACUUUGCUGGAAUCCCUGUUGUCCAUAUGGAGAUCUGUUGGAAUCGUUGGACACCAUCCAAUUCUGCAACACUUGGCACUGAGCUGCAGCCUCCUAUGAAGCAUCCAUGGCACAUGCCAAGCAUGAAAACAGGUGCCCAAAAGGUUCCCUAAAUUAAAUCUCUUUACUUCCACAUCAGAACACUGUUGUCAGGAAAAAUUCAUCAUUUUCACAGCAACUGUCAGUGUUUACUUCUCAUUAACUAGGUGUACAUUCCCAUUAACAUAAAGUAACUGGGUCUGCAGUCAUCGCAGCAUCACGUCACUGUAUUUGAGGGUUUACCUAACAGUGAGCUCACCAGAUGAAUAUCUCCAGCCAAUCUGCCCACAGUGGUGUCGUUGUCAGGCCCGAGCUUCAGCCGAAGGAUGAUUAAUGUUCCGCCCCUCGCCCCCCACUGUGAAUUAGACACCAUGGGUCGAAACUAUUUUUCUUCGUGAGCAGGAGCAUGCUUGUGGCUAAAAACCGGGGCAAACACUGUUUAUCAUCUUAUGGACGAGAGCCCUCCUUGGGGCAAAUUACCCACGCGGCCGUAUCGACUGGCACGGACCGGGUGUCAGUGCCCUUUCACUUUGAUUAAUCUCCCCAUGUUCCUAUUCCAACUCUAUCAAAGUAAUCUAAGUGAAGACACACAGCAUUGAUCUGUAAACACAGCAG
ensembl:lncRNA